GGAAAAUCCAGCAAUAGGAAGAAGAGAUGGCUGCUGCUGUUCCUGGAUCUAGAAAGGAGAGAAGCUACUCAGGGAGCUCUUGAUCCUAUGCUCAGGGGGAAACAUACCAGGAAAUUACAGGAAACAAAAAAGAAAAUUGAGUGGAGGAGAAGGAAUAGCAAAAUGGAGACAGCAGCAGAAGAUAGAGAGAGGUGGACGAGAGAAAACCCUCAAGAUAAAGAGACCAGGGCACAGAAAGGGAAGAAGAGGCAAAGAGACAAAUACAUGAGGAAACAUGGCAGGCUUGGAGGUGGGUGUGUGCAUGACUCAGUAACUGUUGAGCUCUGUCAUGAGUAAGCAUUUUUGUCUGGGGAACAAUCAC
rnacentral:lncRNA from 10 species